rfam:Kocuria polaris strain CMS 76or contig16, whole genome shotgun sequence.
CGCGGUCCUCGGUAGUGAUCUCCGGACACCGGACGGCCCCCGCGGCCCCGGACCUUCCGUGGAUCUCGAUCGAAGACCGGG